UUUCUACGUUGAUCCCGACCGUCACAGUAGCAUCGAUGGCGCUCCAGAUGUUUCAACGGGUCCGGAGAGAGCUCGGCCCCGUCCUCUCCGGGCAUCCCCUUUGUCGACGCGUUGGAGGUCCUGAAACGACAGCUCUGUGCUUGUCUGCGGGAACAUGAGCACCAUCGAGAGAGCUCGGCCCCGUCCUCGCCAGGCAUCCCCUUUGUCGACGCGUUGGAGGUCUUGCAUCGAAGCUCCGUGCUUGUCUGCGGGGAGAAGCUCUGUUUUGCUGAAGAACAGGGCUUUCGAUAUGCUCCAGGUUCAUGUUCUUUCUUCCCUUAAUCGGUCGAUUGGUUCCGAUUAGGUUUUCGAAUAUGCGCUUCUAUGAUCCUUUUGACUUCCU
rnacentral:lncRNA from 1 species